GAUGAAGAACGCAGCGAAAUGCGAUAAGUAAUGUGAAUUGCAGAAUUCAGUGAAUCAUCGAAUCUUUGAACGCACAUUGCGCCCGCCAGUAUUCUGGCGGGCAUGCCUGUCUGAGCGUCAUUUCAACCCUCAUGCCCCUAGGGCGUGGUGUUGGGGAUCGGCCAAAGCCCGCGAGGGACGGCCGGCCCCUAAAUCUAGUGGCGGACCCGUCGUGGCCUCCUCUGCGAAGUAGUGAUAUUCCGCAUCGGAGAGCGAUGAGCCCCUGCCGUUAAACCCCCAACUUUCCAAGGUUGACCUCAGAUCAGGUAGGAAUACCCGCUGAACUUAAGCAUAUCAAUAAGCGGAAGA
rnacentral:misc_RNA from 1 species